rnacentral:rRNA from 1 species
UGCCUACGGGGGGCAGCAGUGGGGAAUAUUGCACAAUGGGGGAAACCCUGAUGCAGCGACGCCGUGUGAGUGAAGAAGUGUUUCGGUACGUAAAGCUCUAUCAGCAGGGAAGAAAAUGACGGUACCUGACUAAGAAGCCCCGGCUAACUACGUGCCAGCAGCCGCGGUAAUACGUAGGGGGCAAGCGUUAUCCGGAUUUACUGGGUGUAAAGGGAGCGUAGACGGCAGCGCAAGUCUGGAGUGAAAUCCCAUGGCUUAACCAUGGAACUGCUUUGGAAACUGUGCAGCUAGAGUGCAGAAGAGGG